CUAGUAAUCGCGGAUCAGCAUGCCGCGGUGAAUACGUUCCCGGGCCUUGUACACACCGCCCGUCACACCAUGGGAGUUUGUAACACCCGAAGUCAGUAUCCUAACCGCAAGGGGGGAGCUGCCGAAGGUGGGAUAAGCGACUGGGGUGAAGUCGUAACAAGGUAUC
rnacentral:rRNA from 1 species